AAUAGAUACCCGGGUAGUCCACGCCGUAAACGAUGAGUGCUAAGUGUUAGAGGGUUUCCGCCCUUUAGUGCUGCAGCUAACGCAUUAAGCACUCCGCCUGGGGAGUACGGCCGCAAGGCUGAAACUCAAAGGAAUUGACGGGGGCCCGCACAAGCGGUGGAGCACGUGGUUUAAUUCGAAGCAACGCGAAGAACCUUACCAGGUCUUGACAUCCUCUGCCAACCCUAGAGAUAGGGCGUUCCCCUUCGGGGGACAGAGUGACAGGUGGUGCAUGGUUGUCGUCAGCUCGUGUCGUGAGAUGUUGGGUUAAGUCCCGCAACGAGCGCAACCCUUGAUCUUAGUUGCCAGCAUUCAGUUGGGCACUCUAAGGUGACUGCCGGUGACAAACCGGAGGAAGGUGGGGAUGACGUCAAAUCAUCAUGCCCCUUAUGACCUGGGCUACACACGUGCUACAAUAGAUGGUACAAAGAGCUGCGAACCCGCGAGGGUAAGCGAAUCUCAUAAAGCCAUUCUCAGUUCGGA
rnacentral:rRNA from 1 species